AAAGAGACGACUGGUCACGUGAUCACAGUUGUCAACGCCUCGGACGACGACGAAGGAGUCAAUGCUGAAAUGACCUACAGCUUACAGCCGGACUCAAUGUUGCAGUACUUCUACAUCAAUGAUUCAGGGGCGGUAAUUCUACAAACAUUGUCAACCUUGGAGACGAUGGACCUGCUGGUCAAGGCUUCAGAUGGGGGUUCGCCAUCGUUGUCCGGCUUCUACACACUCAGG